CCAUAGCGGCGGAGUGCCGGUGGUUGGCAGCAGUAGUAGCUAUAUAAAUAAUCUUUGCUUCCCUGCCUGUUGCUGUUCGGAGUGCAAAUAAACGCUUCAUUUGCAAAUAAACGCUCCAUUUGGAAUAGCGGUACAGAGGGGAUACGACAUGUAUAUGGCUCCGUCUUCUUAUUUUACUUGUAACCCCUCGUUGCGUGCUGUUCGACUUCAAG
rnacentral:lncRNA from 1 species